rnacentral:rRNA from 1 species
AACGAACGCUGGCGGCAUGCCUAACACAUGCAAGUCGAACGAUGCUUUCGGGCAUAGUGGCGCACGGGUGCGUAACGCGUGGGAAUCUGCCCUGGGGUUCGGGAUAACAGCGGGAAACUGCUGCUAAUACCGGAUGAUAUCGCGAGAUCAAAGAUUUAUCGCCCUGGGAUGAGCCCGCGUCGGAUUAGGUAGUUGGUGGGGUAAGAGCCUACCAAGCCGACGAUCCGUAGCUGGUCUGAGAGGAUGAUCAGCCACACUGGGACUGAGACACGGCCCAGACUCCUACGGGAGGCAGCAGUGGGGAAUAUUGGACAAUGGGCGCAAGCCUGAUCCAGCAAUGCCGCGUGAGUGAUGAAGGCCUUAGGGUUGUAAAGCUCUUUUACCCGGGAUGAUAAUGACAGUACCGGGAGAAUAAGCCCCGGCGAACUCCGU